rnacentral:lncRNA from 1 species
UGAUCGAGCAAUAGAUUGAUCCAGCCCCUUCGAUUCAAUCCAAUACGAGAGGGACGAAUGUAAGUUGAGUCCCAAUGAAUUUAGGUCUCUAGGGGAGAAGGUAAAUUGAGUCCUGCUGAAUCCUAUUCGGCGGUACGUAAAUUGAGUCCCGGUAGCAUUAUCACUUUAUGCGCAGAGGCGUAGGAGGGGGCGCCAAAUGAGAUCCAUGCCUGGGUGGUAAAAGUCCUCGCUACGAAUCUGGCUGAGUAUUUUGGUUCUCUUUUACACAAAUACGGUUUAAGUUGAGACUCCAGUUAAAGUUGUCUAAUUUUUGGUCCUAUUAGUGUGUAAUUGCCAUUACUCUCUUUUCAGCUACAAUGUGGAUCUUGCUAUGCCUUUGCAGUGGUGGGAGCGAUAGAGAUCGUAUACGCGAAGCUAAAGAAGAAAGUUCUUGAUCUCUCAGAGCAAGAAAUCGUAGAUUGCAGUCAGGCAUUCGGCAACAACGGAUGUGGCGGCGGCGAUUUUCCUGAAACACUCGAAUUCAUCAGCAAAAAGUCGCUGGCUUCCGAAUCACAGAACCCAUACGUCGGUAAAGAAACAAAAGUAUGCAAAAAUUAGCAGGACUGGUAUCCGUCAAGAAUUGGUCAAAGGUAACCGGUCGUGCAAAUAUCCAAGCGGCAUUGAAAAAAAACAAAGCUCUUCUUGCUGGCAUUAAUGCUGACUCUAGACAAUUCCAGGUGUACAGGAAAGGUGUUAUGAAAGUGCCGAAUUGCGAUCCAAAUGCUCUGGACCAUGCAGUCGUGCUCGUUGGGUUAGAGUAGGUAUGGUACCGUUUCUCAAUUAUUUUAAUUUUAAGCGCUCAGCCGAUAGGCAGCGCUUUUUGAUUUCGACUUGCCUCUAUAGCCCUGAAUAGACGAUCAAAUUCCCGAACCAAUUCCGAUCAAAGUAGCAUCAAAGUGCCGGGAGUCAUCAGUCUUAAACUCAUUAAUUUGCUUCAUUUUAAAAUGAAAACUUGGUAGAAAUGUUUCUUGUGGCAGGAAAUGAUGAAUGGUGGCACUCCGUUCUGAUCUUACUUUGAACAAAAAAGUGCGGCCCGUCAAAAUUUGAUGGUAGAUGGUGACCACCAGUCAUCAGCAUGUCUACUUUGAUCGGAAUUGGUUCGGAAUUUGAUCGUCUAUCCAGGGCUUUCAAUACUAGUAUACUAGUGCUAAUUCGUUUCAAAUGGCGCACCAGCUCAUCGAUGUGUAGGUUUUUUUUUUUUUGGGGGGGGGGGGGGUCCAGU